UACGGAGGGGGCGAGCGUUAUUCGGAAUUAUUGGGCGUAAAGGGCGCGUAGGCGGCUGUACAAGUCAAAGGUGAAAUCCCUCGGCUCAACUGAGGAACUGCCUUUGAAACUGUACGGCUUGAGGCCGGGAGGGGGUAGCGGAAUUCCCAGUGUAGCGGUGAAAUGCGUAGAUACUGGGAGGAACACCGGUGGCGAAGGCGGAUCUCUGGGCCAUAACUGACGCUGAGGAGCGAAAGCAUGGGGAGCGAACAGG
rnacentral:rRNA from 1 species